UUUUUCCAUAGGAUAUAUUGUUAAAUUUGAACUUCGCGCAUCGUAAAAUGUUCGUACGUGCGGGGUUUUGUGUUCGUUAAAUGAAUUGGAAAUCGAAAUUUAUUAGUCCGUGCAAUGUUCGUUUCUUGAGAGUUCGUAAGUAGAUGUUCGCCUUGUAUUGUUGAAAUACGCUGCAAUAACUUCUGAAGUUACUUACGGUAAUUAAGAUUAGUGGUAAAAAGGAAAGACAAAAUAGAGAAAACGGUGGAAUGAGCGAAUAAAUAAAAGGCAGAACGAAAGAUAACCUACGUCACAAUCCUUCAUUGAGUAUCCUGUCCCUGAAUUCGGCCUGUUCAUUGCAUCUGCGCACAGAACAAAAUACUUUCUAGGCCUACAGUGAAAACAUGUGAUUGCUCUCGAUGCAUGAAAUACGCAUUCUCAAUACUUCGUGCUCAGAUAAUGCAAAGGCCGAUUACAACUGAUGAUGUCAGCUCGGCCUUACAGAAGAGCUGGAUGAAUCAGUUUGUCCAAUAGGAAAUCCUAUGGUUAAGAUGAAACACUGCAUGUUAGAGCAACACGUUUCAUUCUAAUACACAAACCGAAAGAGAGAAAGAAUUUAACAUACUCUUUCACAUGUGGACACGUCAACUACAAGAUUUGCCAGAACAGGUCGAGAGACCGAACUCUAGACGUUGUUAUUAAUAUUACUGCUGUUGUGGUGUUCAACCCGCUGGGACUUCGGCCAAUACGUCUUUGGAAAACUAUAAGGAAGCCUUAUAUGGAAAAAAGCGAAAGUUGUAAUGCGCAACAUCUGCUGCUUUCAGUCACUUUCAUGCACAGAUGGAACAGAUGGAUUGACCAAACGAGAUUAUAAUGGUGACCCAACAGACCGUUAACCUAAUCCUUGAAAAAGAUAAUGACGAUAAUGUUACGUGGCGUUGGUGCAGGGUACGGCACGUGAAACACAGAGCAGCCUGUAUUUGACACGACAGAUCUUACCCACGGCAAUGUGCAGAGGAGAGGAAUGUGUCUGAGGAACAAGCAAGCUACAUGUCAAAAUCACUAGACUGAAACAACUGACUGCAAAUGAGGAGGGCAGCACAAUCAAACAGGCCAAACAACCCUCUACAAACUACCAAUAAGUGUAAUUAUUUGUUGCGGUGGUAAGUUCUUAAGUUCUGUGUCGCAUUUUUCUGAAUACACUGUGCAGAAUAAACAUCGAUUUGUGAUGCUGACACCAUCAGACAGCAUGACUCAUCUCCUGAACUAUUUCCAUUCAUGGACAGUAAACACUAGUUCCGAUUCGGCGCCAUUUAGCCUUCAGCUAUGGGCCACUGUAUCAUUACUCCAUUCGCCUUGGCCCAAAACUCAGCCCAUAUGUUGCUCUGUAACGACCACAAGGCUGUCCAAAUUAUUCACCAGCCACGUCUGACUUCUCUCACAGCUCACUCUCUCCUGUAUGAACAGUUGACCGAUGCAACACGCUCUUCGUCGAAUAUGAAAGAAUUAAUGAAAAGCUAGUAGAUGGAAAUCGAAAUGGUUUUUCGCAAAGAAGUGUAUAUAAUUACUUGAAAAUUUCCCGUCAAGAAAGACUGGAAAAUUUGAUGCAGUACUUACAAAACACAUUUUAUUGAGUAGUGUAACAAAGCAACGUACAAAAAUUAAAAUCAUAAAAAUGUUUGCUUAAUCACGACGCUGCAAAGCGUUCACUUAAACAUCUGUUUUGCUGCUCUGUAUAGAAGUAGCUGUACUGUACAUAGAAGGCCAUUGAUGAGUCAAUAAUCCUUUAUUACGUAAAAAAUUAAAAUUAACUGAUGUGAGCAAAAACUUAAUAUUAUUAUCUUCUAAUUAAUAUUUUUCAAGGUUGUAAUAAAUGUACAUAGUGAGCCUUUAA